GAGUUUGAUCUUGGCUCAGGAUGAACGCUGGCGGCGUGCCUAAUACAUGCAAGUCGAGCGAACGGACGAGAAGCUUGCUUCUCUGAUGUUAGCGGCGGACGGGUGAGUAACACGUGGAUAACCUACCUAUAAGACUGGGAUAACUUCGGGAAACCGGAGCUAAUACCGGAUAAUAUUUUGAACCGCAUGGUUCAAAAGUGAAAGACGGUCUUGCUGUCACUUAUAGAUGGAUCCGCGCUGCAUUAGCUAGUUGGUAAGGUAACGGCUUACCAAGGCAACGAUGCAUAGCCGACCUGAGAGGGUGAUCGGCCACACUGGAACUGAGACACGGUCCAGACUCCUACGGGAGGCAGCAGUAGGGAAUCUUCCGCAAUGGGCGAAAGCCUGACGGAGCAACGCCGCGUGAGUGAUGAAGGUCUUCGGAUCGUAAAACUCUGUUAUUAGGGAAGACAUAUGUGUAAGUAACUGUGCACAUCUUGACGGUACCUAAUCAGAAAGCCACGGCUAACUACGUCG
rnacentral:rRNA from 1 species